AGAGUUUGAUCAUGGCUCAGAUUGAACGCUGGCGGCAGGCCUAACACAUGCAAGUCGAGCGGUAGAGAGAAGCUUGCUUCUCUUGAGAGCGGCGGACGGGUGAGUAAUGCCUAGGAAUCUGCCUGGUAGUGGGGGAUAACGUUCGGAAACGGACGCUAAUACCGCAUACGUCCUACGGGAGAAAGCAGGGGACCUUCGGGCCUUGCGCUAUCAGAUGAGCCUAGGUCGGAUUAGCUAGUUGGUGGGGUAAUGGCUCACCAAGGCGACGAUCCGUAACUGGUCUGAGAGGAUGAUCAGUCACACUGGAACUGAGACACGGUCCAGACUCCUACGGGAGGCAGCAGUGGGGAAUAUUGGACAAUGGGCGAAAGCCUGAUCCAGCCAUGCCGCGUGUGUGAAGAAGGUCUUCGGAUUGUAAAGCACUUUAAGUUGGGAGGAAGGGCAGUUACCUAAUACGUAAUUGUUUUGACGUUACCGACAGAAUAAGCACCGGCUAACUCUGUGCCAGCCGCCGCGGUAAUWC
rnacentral:rRNA from 1 species